rnacentral:rRNA from 1 species
CAGCAGCCACGGUAAUACGGAGGGGGCUAGCGUUGUUCGGAAUUACUGGGCGUAAAGCGCACGUAGGCGGAUUGAAAAGUUGGGGGUGAAAUCCCGGGGCUCAACCUCGGAACUGCCUCCAAAACUAUCAGUCUUGAGUUCGAGAGAGGUGAGUGGAAUUCCGAGUGUAGAGGUGAAAUUCGUAGAUAUUCGGAGGAACACCAGUGGCGAAGGCGGCUCACUGGCUCGAUACUGACGCUGAGGUGCGAAAGCGUGGGGAGCAAACAGGAUUAGAGACCCGCGUAGUCCCUGUCUCUUAUAC